rnacentral:rRNA from 1 species
UACGAAGGGUGCAAGCGUUACUCGGAAUUACUGGGCGUAAAGCGUGCGUAGGUGGUUCGUUAAGUCUGAUGUGAAAGCCCUGGGCUCAACCUGGGAAUGGCAUUGGAAGCUGGCGACCUAGAGUGCGGUAGAGGGUAGUGGAAUUCCCGGUGUAGCAGUGAAAUGCGUAGAGAUCGGGAGGAACAUCUGUGGCGAAGGCGACUGCCUGGACCAGCACUGACACUGAGGCACGAAAGCGUGGGGAGCAAACAGG